UGGUGCCUUACAGGAAAAGUUGCUGAUCCCUGUUGUAGAGCAUACCAGUUCUGCAACUGCAAUAAUCAGAAGGCUGGAAAGAGACUGGGCUUCAGGAUCACUCAGGGAGGGAGUAUCACAGAGUUAGUUCAAAGAUCCGAGAGCCUGGAAGGAGCUGAUUGA
rnacentral:lncRNA from 1 species